rnacentral:rRNA from 1 species
GCACAAGCGGUGGAGCAUGUGGUUUAAUUCGAUGAUACGCGAGGAACCUUACCUGGGCUCAAAUGUAUGUUGACGUAUUCUGAAAGGGAUACUUCUUCGGACAAUAUACAAGGUGCUGCAUGGUUGUCGUCAGCUCGUGCCGUGAGGUGUCGGGUUAAGUCCCAUAACGAGCGCAACCCCUAUCAUUAGUUGCCAUCAGGUCAAGCUGGGGACUCUAAUGAAACUGCCUACGCAAGUAGUGAGGAAGGUGGGGAUGACGUCAAAUCAGCACGGCCCUUACGUCCAGGGCUACACACGUGCUACAAUGGCCGGUACAAAGGGCAGCUACCUGGUGACAGGAUGCUAAUCUCAAAAGCCGGUCUCAGUUCGGAUCGGAGUCUGCAACCCGACUCCGUGGAGCUGGAAUCGCUAGUAAUCGCGCAUCAGCCAUGGCGCGGUGAAUACGUUCCCGGGCCUU